UCCCCAGCAGUCCAGUGGUUAGAACUCCACACUUUCACUGUCAAAGGCCAGGGAUCAAUCCCUGGUUGGGGAA
rnacentral:tRNA from 1 species